GAUGAAGAACGUAGCGAAAUGCGAUAAGUAGUGUGAAUUGCAGAAUUCAGUGAAUCAUCGAAUCUUUGAACGCACAUUGCGCCCCUCGGUAUUCCGUGGGGCAUGCCUGUUCGAGCGUCAUUUAACCCCUCAAGCCUAGCUUGGUAUUGGGUGCUUGUCCCGCCUCUCGCGCGGCGACUCACCUCAAAGUCAUUGGCAGCCCGCAUCUCGCCGGCCGUGAGCGCAGCACAGACGCGCUCUUGGCAACGACGGAUCGGCUCUCCAAAAGCUUAUUUCAACCACUGUCCUCGGAUCAGGUAGGGAUACCCGCUGAACUUAAGCAUAUCAAUAAGCGGAGGA
rnacentral:misc_RNA from 1 species